UAGGCGAACGGGUGAGUAACACGUGAGCAACCUACCUUACACAGGGGGAUAGCCGUUGGAAACGACGAUUAAUACCGCAUGAGACCACAAAGCCACAUGGCUUAGGGGUAAAAGAUUUAUCGGUGUAAGAUGGGCUCGCGUCUGAUUAGCUAGUUGGAAGGGUAAAGGCCUACCAAGGCAACGAUCAGUAGCCGGUCUGAGAGGAUGAACGGCCACAUUGGAACUGAGACACGGUCCAA
rnacentral:rRNA from 1 species